ACAAGGCAGUUCAAACUGCUUUGCAUCAUAAAAACAUAAUGCAGUCAUUAAUUAUGACACAAGUGAUAAACAUUACAUUCUGUCAAAUCAUCAAGUAAAUAU